UGGACACGCACGUCCACUGUAUCUCCAACCGGCUGGGAUGGACGAGAGGUGGGACAAAGAACCCAGAGGAGACACGCAAGGCCCUGGAAGACUGGUUACCAAGGGAUCUAUGGAGUGAGAUCAACUGGUUGCUGGUGGGGUUUGGUCAACAGGACCUGAGCCCUAGGACCAUGCCUCGGACGACCUGGCAUGAUGACUCCUUG